AUGCCGCGCGUUUUCGUGGAAUCGGUCGAACACUUGGCCAAUGCCCCCGCAGUUGGGGGCCCGCCGGCGCCCCCGCCGCAGCCUUCAGCCUCACCGCCGCCGCAGGCACGGCCAUCGCCUCCGCCACCCACACCGCCACCUAAGUCCCCGCCCCCGUCCUCUCCACCUCCUGCGUCUUCCGGCAACAAUCAGAGUCCGAAUUUGCCUCCGGGGUCGCCUCCGCCGGAGAAGUCUCCUGCAUCGUCCCCACCUCCUCCGGCUUCGCCUCCGCCCUCAACUCCGCCGGCAAGCCGGUCACCACCACCGUCUUCUCCCCCGCCAUCGCCGCCUUCGCAACAAUCUUCGCCGCCACCAGCGCAAUCGACGCCACCGUCGCCUGGUGUAUCAACUCGGCCAUCGCCAGGGGCAACGACAUCCCCGUCGCAGCAAUCACCUCCGAAAGCGACGACCUCACCACCGGCGUCGCCAUCACCAUCUCAACCAAAGAACCCCGCACCAGCCACCCCAACCCCUUCACCUCCCCUGAAUGCGGAGUCGGCCACGAAACCUCCCACCGGUGCAGGAACAUCACCCCCACCGCUUGAAACGCCUGGGACGCCCACGUCGGUACCGGCCGCAGCAGGUCAGGUGCCGGCAGCUCCCGGAACACCUUCAUCUUCCUCACUGUUGCCGCCUUCGGGCAUUAUGCCGGCCUCCGGGCGUCCUCCUGGCUCGUGGCAGAGCCCUCCCGGUCCGGCCGCCGCGAGGGCGAGCCCACCGUCCCUGGCACCUCCGGCGAGAGCCUUGGGUGAGAACCUGCCGAUCGGGGUGAUAGUUGGGGUCGCCGUGGCUGGGUUCCUCAUGGCAUUGGCGUCGCUUUUCAUGGUGGCGUGCCUCAGCGACUGGGGGAAGAAGCGGCGUCCACCCAUGCGCAAGAGAAGAACCAUGGUCGUGCUGGCACCUGCGCCGGACUCGUACCCUCCGUCCAACGGGCCGGUAGCGCCGCCGAGCGACACGAACUCGUACGAGUUCACCGGGUACAAAUCGUGCUUCACGUACGGCGAGCUGGUGGGGAUCACGGGCGGGUUCUCGUCGGCGAACAUGAUCGGCGAAGGUGGGUUCGGGAAGGUGUACAUGGGCGCGCUGGGCGACGGGCGGCGCGUGGCGGUGAAGCAGCUCAAGGUUGGAGGCGGGCAGGGGGAGAAGGAGUUCCGCGCCGAGGUGGACAUCAUCAGCCGCAUCCACCACCGCCACCUGGUGACGCUGGUCGGGUACUGCGUCACCGAGAACCACCGCCUCCUCGUCUACGAGUUCGUCUCCAACAACACGCUCCAGCACCACCUGCACGGAGAAGGGCUUCCGGUGAUGGACUGGCCGAAGCGGAUGAAGAUUGCGAUCGGAUCAGCCCGUGGAUUGACCUACUUGCACGAAGACUGCCAUCCUAGGAUCAUACAUCGGGAUAUCAAGUCAGCCAACAUUCUCCUGGACAACGCCUUCGAGGCAAAGGUUGCAGAUUUCGGUCUCGCUAAGCUAACCAACGAUUCUAUGACUCAUGUCUCCACGCGCGUCAUGGGCACAUUCGGGUACAUGGCGCCAGAGUACGCAUCAAGCGGGAAGCUGACGGACAGAUCCGACGUCUUUUCGUUUGGGGUGGUGCUCUUGGAGCUUAUCACUGGGCGGAAGCCCGUAGAUUCGUCUCAACCCCUAGGAGAAGAAAGCUUAGUUGAAUGGGCUCGGCCUCUCCUGGUGGAUGCGCUGGAGACGGACGACUUCAGGGAAAUCGCCGACCCUGCCCUUGAGUGCAGGUACUCCAAGACCGAGAUGCGGAGGAUGGUGGAGGCGGCUGCCGCUUGCAUUCGCCACUCUGUCACCAAGAGACCGAGGAUGGUGCAGGUGUGGCGAUCGCUGGACGUGGACGGCGGCUCGACGGACCUGACCAACGGCGUCAAGCUCGGGCACAGCACCGCGUACGACUCAGGGCAGUACUCGGCGGACAUCGAGCUCUUCCGGCGGAUGGGGUUCGAGGCCGACCUCGACACCGCGGAGUACGGCUUGUCCGACCAGGACGAGCUGCCGCCUGGUUCCGGGAGGCAACAACGGACAGCAGCUGGACGGUGA
rnacentral:rRNA from 1 species